UACGGGGGGUGCGAGCGUUGUCCGGAAUCACUGGGCGUAAAGGGCGCGUAGGUGGCGUGAUAAGGGUGUGGUGAAAGCCCGGGGCUCAACCCCGGGUCUGCCAUGCCGACUGUCAGGCUGGAGUACUGUAGGGGCAGGCGGAAUUCCGGGUGUAGCGGUGGAAUGCGUAGAGAUCGGCAGGAACACCCAGGGGGAAACCAGUCGACUGGGCAUCUACUGACGCUGAGGUGCGAGAGCGUGGGGAGCGAACCGG
rnacentral:rRNA from 1 species